UGGUGUGGAUGAUGAGAUUAUUAAUUUUACAGUUAUCCCUGGCUGAUAUAUCAGGUGAUGAAAUUUUGCAAUCCGACGCACAC
rfam:Lupinus angustifolius cultivar Tanjil contig_32194, whole genome shotgun sequence.